rnacentral:rRNA from 1 species
UACGGAGGAUGCGAGCGUUAUCCGGAUUUAUUGGGUUUAAAGGGUGCGUAGGCGGGCUUUUAAGUCAGCGGUAAAAAUUCGGGGCUCAACCCCGUCCGGCCGUUGAAACUGGGGGCCUUGAGUGGGCGAGAAGAAGGCGGAAUGCGUGGUAUAGCGGUGAAAUGCAUAGAUAUCACGCAGAACCCCGAUUGCGAAGGCAGCCUUCCGGCGCCCUACUGGCGCUGAGGCACGAAAGUGCGGGGAUCGAACAGG